rnacentral:rRNA from 1 species
GACGAACGCUGGCGGCGUGCUUAACACAUGCAAGUCGAACGGUAAGGCCCUUCGGGGUACACGAGUGGCGAACGGGUGAGUAACACGUGGGUGAUCUGCCCUGCACUUCGGGAUAAGCCUGGGAAACUGGGUCUAAUACCGGAUAGGACUCCUGGCUUCAUGGUUGGGGGUGGAAAGCUUUUGCGGUGUGGGAUGGGCCCGCGGCCUAUCAGCUUGUUGGUGGGGUAAUGGCCUACCAAGGCGACGACGGGUAGCCGGCCUGAGAGGGUGACCGGUCACACUGGGACUGGGAUACGGCCCAGACUCCUACGGGAGGCAGCAGUGGGGAAUAUUGCACAAUGGGCGCAAGCCUGAUGCAGCGACGCCGCGUGAGGGAUGACGGCCUUCGGGUUGUAAACCUCUUUCAGCUAUGACGAAGCGCAAGUGACGGUAGUAGCAGAAGAAGGACCGGCCAACUACGUGCCAGCAGCCGCCGCCG